rnacentral:rRNA from 1 species
CCUACGGGUGGCAGCAGUGGGGGAUAUUGCACAAUGGGGGAAACCCUGAUGCAGCGACGCCGCGUGUGGGAAGACGGUCCUCUGGAUUGUAAACCCCUGUCCCCAGGGACGAAGAUGACGGUACCUGGGGAUGAAGCUCCGGCUAACUAUGUGUCCGCAGCCGCGGUAAUACGUGGGGGGCGAGCGUUGUACGGAAUUACUGGGGGGAAAGGGAGCGUAGGCGGGGAUGAACGUUGGGGGUCAAAACUACGGGCUCAACUGGUAGACGCACUCAAAACUGCAGCACUUGAGUGAAGUAGAGGCAGGCGGAAUUCCUAGGGUAGCGGUGAAAUGCGUAGAUAUUAGGAGGAACACCAGUGGCGAAGGCGGCCUGCUGGGCUUUUACUGACGUUGAGGCUCGAAAGUGUGGGGAGCAAACAGGAUUAGAUACCCGUGUAGUC